rnacentral:lncRNA from 1 species
UAUUUAGUCUGAAUAAGACAGUAGUUAUCACCAAUAAUUCAGCAACAAGAGAUAAAAUAGAAUAAGCAGAGGAUGUUGUAGAGGAGGGAGGGAGUGAGAGGUACAAGUGCUCAGGUUCGUAGGCAAUGCAGUGGUUGCAGACUCGCAGUGCAGGUCGGCCACCAUCGUCGCGCGGUAGAGAGGUAGUCACAGGACGCACGGCAGCGGCAAAGACGUGGCAGAGCCGCAGAGGAGGUUGGGGUCGCCACCAUCCAUCCCAACGUGCGCGAGUGGACCAAGCUAGGGGCCCCACCCAGAAGGUGCAGAGGGAGCGAGGGGGCGCGGUGUGCGACGGAGAGGAGCUGUCGAAGACGCUCCGAUGAUGGACACGAUGUCGUAGCCGAAACCCUAGGGGUCGUGGGGCGAGCACCAAAGCCAGGGAGCGGUGGAGAGAGAGAGAGUGAGAUGCGCCAGAUCUGACAGCUGCCGGAGCAACGAGGCGAGGUGAGAGGAGGGGAGGACCGGCACGGAGUUUUGGAGAAGAGGGGAGAAGAGAUGGUGGGUGCCGGCGAUGGGAGUCGGGAGGGGGCUGUGUGGAGGAGGCACAGUGACGAGGGCCGAGGAGGAUGGAGUU